AUUGAACGCUGGCGGCAGGCCUAACACAUGCAAGUCGAGCGAGCGGCGGACGGGUGAGUAAUGUCUGGGAAACUGCCUGAUGGAGGGGGAUAACUACUGGAAACGGUAGCUAAUACCGCAUACCAUCAGAUGUGCCCAGAUGGGAUUAGCUAGUAGGUGGGGUAAAGGCUCACCUAGGCGACGAUCCCUAGCUGGUCUGGGAGGAUGAACAGCCACACUGGGACUGAGACACGGUCCAGACGCCUACGGGAGGCAGCAGUGGGGAAUAUUGCACAAGGGGCGCAAGCCGGAUGCAGCCAUGCCGCGUGUGUGAAGAAGGCCUUAGGGUUGUAAAGCACUUUCAGCGGGGAGGCGUUACUCGCAGAAGAAGCACCGGCUAACUUCGUGCCAGCAGCCGCGGUAAUUC
rnacentral:rRNA from 1 species